CUAAAUAUAGAGUGAAGGUUCCUUUUGAUCUGUAGAUUAGAAUGCACAAUUGCAAAGGCAUUUCAAGAAAGUUCACCACUUGGCUAAUAUUGCAACCCUGUACUUGCAUUUCUGGGAAGUAAACUUUGUUUAAGACAGUGGGGCCUACUUGCAGGUGUUUUCCUAAACUUGGGAAAUUGUAAUCAGCAUAAAGACUGUCAAGCCUUGCAUCUCAUAGCAAAAAUGGAUCUCUGAUUGCUUAUCAGCCUGGAAUUGAAGCAGGACAACUUCAGGUUUCAGAGUUUAGCUCGCAGAAUGCACGAGGGCACAAGCUACACACUACGCUUGGAGAGGCUCUUCACUGGAGGGGCCGAGGAGCAGGAGAAGACACUGUUGAGGAGGCUCUGAGCAGACAUCGCGGAGGAAGCUUCCCCUCCAGACGGUCAGGGCUUUGCCCAUUGGAGGGACGAAAGGAGGCUGUGCCACAGUGGAAGAAAAGCCCGGGCCCCUCCCCUCCUCUCUCCUCCCCUCCAGCCUGGGAUCGCUUCCUUCGCAGCCCUGCACGGCCUGAGCUCCCGUGGGCCUGGAAUAAACACCUAAUUUGGCCACUGCUGCUUCCUCCUCCUUCUUCCCGGCCCCUCUCGUGUUGCUCUUCCCUCCCACGCUCCCAAAAGCGCAGAGUUGGAGCCAGCGGGGAGGGGAAAAAAAAAGAGAGAAAGACAAAAAAGAAGCUGCUCAUUAGCCUUAGGGCACUUUGAAGUGUCUCAAGAGGAGCCUCAACUGCGCCCCCCAGAGGAUGGCUCCUUAAACAACCGCCUAGUUUGCCUAAUGGUUGAACCGCCCCUGCCCCUUGGUCCACAGUUUCUCCCAUUGGUCCAAAAUUAUAUUAUGCCCAGUCUUUUAUGUCCAUGUCUACCAUUUCUCAUUUCAAUAACAUCUUAUGCAUUAUAACAAUUAAAUGCUCAUUAUUAACAACUCAAUUUUUUAUUUACUCAGUUCAAAACCAAAUAAUAGCUUAUCUUGCCUAAAUCUCUCCAGUAACUGUAAAUAAGAAAACCACUAAAAACCAAACCCCCUUUGCAAUCAGUUAUUCUCCAGUUUAAUUCUAUAUUCUCUUUGUAUAUUUUCUAGGAGAUCUUGAUAAGUGAACCAUUUACUCUUGCCUUGUGUUUCUUUUCAAUAUAAAAAAUAAUUUUGAUCUGGUGGGAAUAAUCCCAUGACCUGCUGGCCCGGGGUCACCAUCCACCAACUAGUUCAUGGCAUCCUUAAUUUCUCCCCCAGCCCCAAUGAGAUGCUGCCUGUUAAGAGUGGCCACAGGGAAAUAAUUCUGGAACUCAUUCUGCUAUUCGGCCAGAAUGCAGGAUAAAAAACAAUUGUUUUUAAAGCAGUUUAAGUGUGAAAGAAUUGUUUAGCAUGCAAAUUGUCAUCAUUUAUCAGGACAGAAGUAAAAAAAAGGUAAGUACAUUUUUUUCUGUCUGCAUAUGGCGGACCUAUGAGAUGUUUCACCUACUCCACAUCUACACAUUAGAUUCCUGAUAAAACACAGAAUUUCCAUCCAUUUUUUAUAAUUUGGAUUGGCAUAACAAGCAAGAGCCUAAUGAAGCUGCCAAGCUUAUGCCCUUUACCCAUCAAGUGAUUCAUUUUUUUCCUUGGAAUUGAAUGCUGAGGAAGAAAAAUGGGCGGGUCUAGUUCUCCCCAUUAUAAAUGUUUGCAUUUACAGUAGAGUUCCAGUUAUCUGAGUUAAACGGGCGGGCUGCAUCUCAGAUAGCCAGAUCUCUUGGUAAAUAGGGAGGACAGGCCUAAGGAAACCCGGGG
rnacentral:lncRNA from 11 species